GCCCUCGUGGAUCAAUGCACAUCACCCCACACACUUGUGACAGCGUUGACAAGGAAUAGUGAUGGGGAGGCGGAGGUUCGAAUCCUCCCGGGGGCU